GGGCGUCUGGCGCAGUGGUAGCGCGUCCGCUUUGCAAUAGGCGUUCUUUAGGACAUCUAAGUAUUGCGGAAGGUCUAGGGUUCGAUCCCCUAGUCGUCCA